GAAUGGCGAGAGGUGAUUGGUUGCCCGCGCCUGUCUCAUGGAAACGGAAAGGUGGAGGGCGGGGCCAACAGAAGAUUGCGGAGGCGGCGAAGGGAGACCCGAGUCCUAAGGCGCAUGCGUCCUCCGGCCGUCAGGGUUUCAUUAUUUUUUUCCUCCCCAUCGCCUUCGCCCGGCGCCAUUUUGUGCGCUCUUCAGUCACGUCUCGGUCCCAUUUCGUUGAGAAGGCUAGAGGUGAAGGGGAGUUGAGAAGCGGCUCCGGCGGAGGCCCGAGAUAAACGAAGCCAAGCUACGCUCAGACGCCCGACCUUCCUGCGGCGCUUUUUAUGGAGAGGGAUAUGCAUUUGUGGAUCAGGGGCGCCGUCGUGAGAUCUGCCCAGAUGGGCACGUGCGUGAAGGCUGUCCAUAAAGCAGCUGGGCCCUGCUCCAUUGUGCUUGAACCCCCGUUGGCUGUUAGCUUCCGCUCCCCAAUCCAUCAAUUUCUUUCUUUGAAACUUAACCCAAUGAGACAUCAGAGGGACGCGUUCAGCGCGGUGAUGACAAAUAAACUUGGAGCACCUUGCAAAGGACCCUGGGGUGCCAAAAGGCAUGUGAUGGAGGAUGCUGCUGCCGUUGUGAAGCUGGGCUAUCUAACUCAAGAGGAAGAUAAUCUGCACGGAACAUAGGAUGAGCAGGACAGCUGAGCGAAGGCUGCUGCACUUCAUAUGUUGAUGCCGGAGACAAGAUGGCUGUAAACUACGACUAAGACGGUGCCUUUCAAGUUGCUUACUGUCCUGUUCCAGAGAGUAUUUGGAAAUCAGUGCUUUGUUUAAUCACCAAGCCAUCUGGAAAGAAUUGUGACCGUGACUGUACAGAUCCCUGCAGAAACUCCUUCCCAAUGCACAGAACCGUGUAAGCUUGUGUGUAUGGCCGGAACCAUGAUGAAACAUCAGCUAUCUUGCUUGUAGGAUUCAGUACAUUUGUGUUGACUGCUUGUAAUCUGUUCUGAGUCAUCUUCGUUAAGCAGAGAACUUUCAUUGUAUCCAAGCACUGACAGAAAUGUCUCAAUAUGAACAUAUACUUUAAACACUGAUGAUUUAUGGAAUAAAAGCCUAUAUUAUGAUUA